rnacentral:rRNA from 1 species
GGAAGGUCCGGGCGUUAUCCGGAUUUAUUGGGUUUAAAGGGAGCGUAGGCCGGAGAUUAAGCGUGUUGUGAAAUGUAGACGCUCAACGUCUGCACUGCAGCGCGAACUGGUUUCCUUGAGUACGCACAAAGUGGGCGGAAUUCGUGGUGUAGCGGUGAAAUGCUUAGAUAUCACGAAGAACUCCGAUUGCGAAGGCAGCUCACUGGAGCGCAACUGACGCUGAAGCUCGAAAGUGCGGGUAUCGAACAGGAUUAGAUACCCUGGUAGUCCGCACGGUAAACGAUGAGCGCCCGUCAUUGGCGACACACAGUCAGUGACCAAGGGAAACCGUUAAGCGCUCCACCUGGGGAGU